UGGCGGCAGGCCUAAACAUGCAAGUCGAGCGGCAGCGGGAAAGUAGCUUGCUACUUUUGCCGGCGAGCGGCGGACGGGUGAGUAAUGCCUGGGGAUCUGCCCAGUCGAGGGGGAUAACUACUGGAAACGGUAGCUAAUACCGCAUACGCCCUACGGGGGAAAGCAGGGGACCUUCGGGCCUUGCGCGAUUGGAUGAACCCAGGUGGGAUUAGCUAGUUGGUGAGGUAAUGGCUCACCAAGGCGACGAUCCCUAGCUGGUCUGAGAGGAUGAUCAGCCACACUGGAACUGAGACACGGUCCAGACUCCUACGGGAGGCAGCAGUGGGGAAUAUUGCACAAUGGGGGAAACCCUGAUGCAGCCAUGCCGCGUGUGUGAAGAAGGCCUUCGGGUUGUAAAGCACUUUCAGCGAGGAGGAAAGGUUGGUAGCUAAUAACUGCCAGCUGUGACGUUACUCGCAGAAGAAGCACCGGCUAACUCCGUGCCAGCAG
rnacentral:rRNA from 1 species